rnacentral:rRNA from 1 species
CCUACGGGUGGCUGCAGUGGGGAAUAUUGCACAAUGGGGGAAACCCUGAUGCAGCGACGCCGCGUGAGUGAAGAAGUAAUUCGUUAUGUAAAGCUCUAUCAGCAGGGAAGAAAAGGACGGUACCUGAGUAAGAAGCCCCGGCGAACUACGUGCCAGCAGCCGCGGGAAUACGUAGGGGGCAAGCGUUCUCCGGAGUUACUGGGUGUAAAGGGAGCGUAGACGGCCGUGCAAGUCUGGAGUGAACGGCGGGGGCUCCACCCCCGGACUGCUCUGGAAACUGUACGGCGGGAGUGCCGGAGAGGUAAGUGGCAUUCCUAGUGUAGCGGUGCCAUGCGUAGCUCUUAGGAG